rnacentral:other from 1 species
GGCAACCUGCCGUGCACGUGAAGCCGCACCAACGGUUUUGAGCCAACACCCGAACAAAGGGAGUCCGCGUCCGGAGCGAAGGCGUUAGGCUUCGUGCCAAGGCCGGGACUUCCGGCAGGGCAUCCCACCUGCGAGAGCAGGUUCAAAAUCAAGUGGCUCACGACAUGGCGGGAUUGUC